AAUAAAUGACUUUUCCAGGAUCACACAGUUAGUAAGUGAACUUAGAUGAGUCUUCUUGACUUCUAGCUUCUAUCCACUGUGCCAUAUAUCUGUCUUCUAUAUUAUACUAGCAUACACACACACAUACACACACACACACACACACACACACACACACACACACACACACACACAAAUGCUAAAAUCAAUUGUUUGUGGCCACUCCAGUCUGAAAUUUCAUAUAUUUCUACAGCACAAAGUUGAUCUCACCAUUGUCAAGGAAAUAUGCUUACAUUCUUGACUCUUCCCUCUCCAUAACCAUGCUAAUUUUUAUCCAUUCUACUUCUACAUUUCUUGUACCCAUUUCUUUUUCUGUUCCCUCAGGUUCAUCACCUCUUGCCUGACAAUUUUUCCCAAUUGUUUCUCUCACAUUUCCAAUCAAUCCUCCACACAGUUGCCAACAUAAUCUUUGGAAAAUAAAGGUCUUCUGGAAUUAUUCCAAGAGAGUUAUAGGAAUGUGUAUAUCCUUGGGCCCUACAAAACCACUGUUGGAUCUGUUUUCCUAGGCUAUCAUCAAUAUUUGGAAUUCACUCUAUCUUCAGCCCUGCCUCUUAGUAGCCUAGGUUCACAUAAUGUGCCUCUUCCUAAGAUGAGUGUGCACAAAGACACGUGUGCAUGAAGGAGAUUUAAGUGGAAAAGUCAAUGCACAGAGACAGGCCCACUCUCUCAGCAUUGGAAGCCUGGGUCCAGUGGCACAAAAAGUCAUUACACCUGGAGACUCUCUAAGCUGCAUUGGAUGGCCGUGUUGUCCUUUGUGCUCCAACAUGCCCUGAGCACUCCACAGUGCUUUGCUGCAUCGCCCUCUCAGCCAUUGAACCUUCUUGUUGGUUUCUUCUGCCUGUUUCACCAAAGUAGUCUUCACAUGUUGGGAUAAAAAAUAAACUCCACUGUUCUUCUAAAGCCA
rnacentral:lncRNA from 1 species